CGAGUUUCAGUCCAUCCUGGGCAACUUGGCAACUUGGAUUGGGGUCUCUUUCAUCUAGAACAGAAAUAGUCCUGACCAGUACAUCAGUCAAAGAUUUAAAUGGGGGGUGCCAGUUAUAGCACCUAAAGAGGAAAAGGAAACUGGAGCAGACUUCAUGACAAGAUGAAGAGACAGAACAUUUGAAGAAUCUGGUCACAAGUUAUGG